UGUAGAAUACAAGGGAGUGUAAACGUCAGUGAAAUACCUUGAUAGAUUUUAGAAAAGAACUAACCUUUUAUGUAAGGGGACAUUAUCAGAAGGUCAGUUUUGCUGGGGCGGUAGCCUCUAAAAAAGUAUCAGAGGCCUUCAAAGGUAUAUUUGUAUUGGUCAGAAACCAAUGAAUUACUAAGAAUUCAAUAAAGCGUAAUAGUCAAAUAUGCUUGACUGAUAGACUGAUAGGUCGAUCAGAUACGCAAGUAGGAUAUAGUGAU
rnacentral:rRNA from 1 species